UACGUAGGGGGCAAGCGUUGUCCGGAUUUAUUGGGCGUAAAGAGCGUGUAGGCGGUCUGGUAGGUCCGUUGUGAAAACUCGAGGCUCAACCUCGAGACGCCGAUGGAAACCAUCAGACUAGAGUCCGGAAGAGGAGUGUGGAAUUCCUGGUGUAGCGGUGAAAUGCGCAGAUAUCAGGAGGAACACCAAUGGCGAAGGCAGCACUCUGGGACGUGACUGACGCUGAGACGCGAAAGCGUGGGGAGCAAACAGG
rnacentral:rRNA from 1 species